ACUGAAUUCUGGAAUUUGACAAAGAAUGUCACUGUGAAAAAUGCCACCACCUAUAUAUUUCAUGGGUUGCAUGCUGGGACCAACUACGACUUCGAAGUACGAGUGAAGGCGGGAACCCAGGAAAGCAGUCCGGUCACAGUAUCACAGAUGACAAUUGCUAAGAAGAGGGUUCUGACUAUUACCAUGAAGUGUUCGUCCAGCGUACCCCUCUACUGCGAGGACAUCCGCACACAGACAGAGGUCCUGUCAAAGUUGCAGGAGCAUUUCCGCAAGGAGUUCUACAAGAAGAUGGAUAUUGUGUUCUGGGAACUGGACUGGAGAGAGGCAUAAUAUCUCACACAAGCUUGACCAAAUACUACUACUUUAAUACACAUUUAAGGGAAUUUGCCGCAACACUUUUGGUCCCCUAAAAUGGGGGUACUAUAUACAAAAAGCGCUGUAAUUUCUGCACGGUUCACCCGAUAUAAAUGAAAAUACCCUCAAAUUAAAGAGUACAGAGUACAUAUCUACUUUAA